AGAACCAGGAAGUUACAAACGGGCAAAGUUACUACACAAGGCUGUGAAGAAUUUUGCGAUAAAAGAAGAGUUGACGUUCGAAGUAACUCUCAUAUGUCUUGUCAGUAUGGAGGUUACUUCUCUUGUGUCACCACAGGUCUGUAGCUGUUUGUAAUGCGCUGCUUUUUCGACGUUUGUCCAGAGUGUUGAGUUUGCUGAACACCGUUAUCGUCAUAUGUUGACAUGGAGUUACAGGAAGUCGAGAGGUGCUGCUGUGUAGUUAAAGUGUCGGAGGCAUUUUCAGCAAAGAAACCUGUGAGCUGCAGCGGAGUUAUCGUCCAUCCUCAAACUGGAACUGUCAUAUGCACCGGCCUCCCUUUUUCACGGUUUAUUACCAACGGGGAGCUCCUCUCCUCGAACUGCGGGUUCCUGUCACCGCACAGCUUCAGCGACAAACUUAAAAUCCGCGUCAGCGUUUCCGCUCGGCGACAUUUGGACGCCAACCAGAGCGCGCAGGGAGAAGCAUUCACACCCCCCAGGAGCAAAACAACACGACAACGGGAAGUUGCAGCCGAGUUGCUUAUGCUGGUGAACUGUGUGGAGUUCAAUCAGGCUUUCCAGGCAGUUUUCCAAGAGGCUGACCAGUGGCGUUUCCAUGGCGAUGAAGAGGAUGAGGAGCUGCUGAGAGAUGCCCAGUUCCUCAGCUGCUUCGCUGUACUCAAGACAAGUGUGGUGGUGGACGGCAGCUCAGAUUCACCGACCAUCCCCUGGCAGAGCAGCUCAUCCCUGCAGAAAGGCUGUCCAGUUGUUGCAUGUGGUUCACCUUUUGGCUCCCUCUGCUUGGAUCUCUUCAUCGGCACCCUCAGCAGAGGUAUCAUCAGCAACCUUGCGGGAGAGGACAACGCCGUCAUCCUCACAGAUGCCCGCUGCUUGCCAGGCACAGAAGGUGGAGGGUUGUUUGUGGUGAAAGGUGCAGAAGAUGUGCGUCUCAUUGGGCUCAUCGUGUCUCCGUUUGGCUGGAAGGCGAAUGAGUGGAUAGGCCUCGCUCUGGUCUGCUCAGUCCACUCCAUCUUCAGGAACAUCAUCCACUGCACGAGCACCCAAGAUCCGCUCCGAGAUGUUUGGCUCCAUCAGGGGGAAACGGGCCUUCGCAUGUCCACCACUGCUCAAGGGUCAAAAGCUGUUAAAUACCCCACUGUGUGCUUUGUGGACAGUGGACGGUUCUGGGGCUCCGGGGUUGUUGUCACCUCUCAGCUGGUUGUGACUUGCAGACAUGUUGUCAAUGGGAAGUCAACAGUCACCCUGAAGUUUCAUCACAAGGACAGGGUCCGUAAUCUCAUUGGCGAUGUCCUGUUUUCCACUAAAGUGUCUUCACCCUAUGAUCUGGCUUUGGUGCGGCUUAGAGGCUCCAUCCCAGAGGCAGUUGUCCCGCAAAUGUCGCAGACUUAUACUCCAGGUGAAUCUGUGGUUGUGGUGGGAUACGGUGGGCUGGGUCGGCGCUGUGGUCCGUCACUGACCAGCGGCGUCCUCUCCAAAACCAUCCGCUUGAAUUACGAGCCCAUCAUGCUCCAGACCACUUGUGCAGUACAAGCAGGGACCAGUGGGGGUGCUGUGGUGCAGAAACACUCAGGAGAGCUGCUGGGUAUCGUGUCCAGCAACACAAGGGAUUUGGCUGCAAGUGUUACCUACCCGCACCUCAACUUCAGCAUCCCGGUGGCUGUUUUCCAAAAACUGUUGCAGCGGUUUCAUCAGACAAAGGAUGUAAAUGUCUUCAGGGUGCUGGACACCACAGAAAAAGAAGUGAGAAGAGUGUGGAGGCUGCAAGCAGGAGGAAGAUUCAGCAUAAUAAGCUGACAGGCUGCUGAAAAGAAAAUGAUUGGUCCCUUUGGGUAGCUGGAGGACUGCUGUCGGUAUCAGGUUUGCUGUAUUACCCCCCCGUCUAAUGCACACCAGUGCAUCAGCUGACUCAAGGUGCAGCAGCCAUUUCCACCCUUAAGACACUUGGUGACAUGAAGCACAAGGCGACUGAGGUAGUAAUGGGGGCUAGAGGACAGCAGGUAAGGGGGAAACGACGUAUCUUGCGAUUCCAUUUAACCAGACGCUUACACCAAAGAAAUGACAAGAGGUGGCACACAAAAGAUAAUCCUGCCUUCUAAUAGCAACACAUUUGUAAAUAAAUCUUGUCGGUAGUGAGCGGCUACAAUGCUGGCACGGCAUUGUGUUGUGAGUACAGAAGCAUAAGGUGGCUGCCUGAGCCUCAUGUUAACUUAACAGGCUUCCACGGAUUAAAGCAGUGCCUGCAAUGAUGACGUUUCCAUAGCAACAGGCUCUCUGUGGUCUGGGAAUCAUUUCUGGGUUGACUGUGAUUUGCAGCUCAAUCUGGUGUUUCUGAGAACUCUCUCCCUCUCAGUAUCUGAAAACCCCCGUUGUGCAAUCAUGUUUAUCAACCUGCCUUUUUCUUCCUUCUUUUCACCUUCCUUUGUCUUCUUCUCAUAUUAGACAUCUUCACUGUGUACUUGUAAUCUUGCUCUGCCUGUGCUUAUUAUUUCCCUCCUUGCAUCCACUCUUUCUUCAUUCACUCUCCCUGAUGCACCUACCUACUUACAUUUUUACUUAUUUUUUUAAGUCUCUCCUUUGGUGUUAAACUAAUGCCUGCAGCAGAAAACCUUUCCUAAUUAGGCUCCCUGUGCUUCAGACUAAUCCAAUCCACAUUUGCAUGAGGUUUAUCCCUGCAGAGCUCAGGCCACAUCCUCAUCAUCAGCCCUCUUAUCUACUAUUUACACACUCAGCCUCUAAGGUCAUCGGUGCUACGUUGUCUUCGAGGUAGCAGUGAAGCACAUCUCUCUUAUUUAUAAUUGUAAAUGCACUUAAGCAAAAAUUGUCUUGUCAUUACUGCUUAAUAUGAUGCAAGGGGCACCAGGUAAUUUGGCAACCUGUAGCUUUUACAUUAUUGUUUUUUAGGGAUGUACGAUGACACUGGUUUGAUGAAUGAUGGAGGAAAUAUCGACCCAAAAUAAACAAUGACAGGCAGAAAAGAUGGAGACGUUACAUAAAAAUGAAUAUGGCAUGUCUUAAAAGAAGAAGAAGCCUUCAUUUGUCAUGAGCACAGUACAGCACCGUGACAUUCAUUUCUUUGCAUUUCCCAGCUUGUUAGGAAGCAGAUACGGUUCUGGCCAGUUCAUGUUUUCAUCUCUGCAAGGGCAGACAUGAUGUAAAUUCCAUCAUCCAGCCAAAUCCAUGAGGGUUGCGGGCCAAAAUUUGUGACAGCGUCGACUGCAAACCAACCGUGCAAGUGCAAGGGAAACAAAUGAUGCUCAAAACAAGUGUUUGGUAUGAGGAUAGACUGCUCGUAAUCAUCCAUACCUGUAUAUUCCUAGAUUAAAGCAGUUGUACCUAAAGUAGUUGCUGUCGCACUUUGGAGAUGCUUUUAUCUGAACAUGUUUUCCAUCAAUAAAGCCUAAUCACAGUAGCAAGUCCUGCUAAGUUCUCCAGAAGUCUACGUCUGUCCACAGUGCUCAACACACUGAGGCUUGAACCCUUUAACAGUAACUCAGAGCCUCAACCAUUGAGCUACCACUGCCCCUGUUUAGCUUUCUAAUUUUGGCAAGUAAAUAUGUACAUUUGAAAAGGAUUGUAUUUAAUUUCUGCACCUGCCAGUGGGCCAUGACGAUAUGAGUAGCCAUAAUAUGUUAGUUAAACUUCUGGACAAUCUUGAUGUUCUCUGCAAUUAGGUGGAAAUAAUAGGUGCAAAUAUCAGCUUUGGCAAUCGGCCAAAAGGAGUUGGAAAAUAGCAUAUCAGGUGUUAGAAAUAAUCCAAUACAGUGCAUCCCACAGUAAAUUACAAUACAAUGCGAAUGUGGCUUUAGCUUUAUAGUUAGUAUAAAGACAUGUAAAUGGUCUUCUCAGCAGAGUCUUGGCAGGAAUGUGACUAUUUCCCAAAAUGUCUAACUUUAACAAUAAAAAUGUUGAUUACUGCAGCUUUAUGUUUUCUAAAAACCAUUACUGCAUGCACAAAAUGUGGAAGGAAGAAAUAAUGGGGAAAUAACUAACAUGCUAGAGCAGGAGUAGCCAACACGGUGCCCGCGGGCGACUGAUUGCCCGCAGAGACCAUGUGAGUUGCCGGCGACUAGUCACCAUGAAAUUCCUUAUUAAAAAAAUUAAAGCUGCUGUUCUUUUUAAAUAAAAAAUACUUACAUUAAUGCAGAUUUUAAAUUACAAUAUUUAUUAUAAUUUUUUUUCUUUUUUUUUUUUAAAAACUGUCUUCGGUGUAAAUGAACUUUGACCUUGUCCGAGUCAAAGUUCACUGCGCAUGUCAAACCACCACGUCGCUCUGCGGAAGCGUCCGGACGCAGACACUUUGGGAAGCUAGAUAUGGAUUUUACCACCAAAACAUGACAGAGAAGUGAAAGAGAAAACACUGUUUUCACGAUGACUGGGAGGAAGAGUUCUUUUUCACGACAGUGAAAGAUAAAUGUAUGUGUCCUAUUUGCGGGGCGACUAUUGCGUCGGCAAAGCGGCACAAUGUGGAGAGAUUCUACUUUAGCCGCCACAAAAGCUUCCAUGCUAACUAGCCACCUGCUAGCGCACAUAGACUGUAUGCGCACUAUGGACAGGGAAAGCCCCGGACUUAACAGCAGCUUUGGCAUCUGCUACGCGGCGAAAAGUCUGUUCGUGACGACGGACAGGGCUCCUCCAUGAUGGGUCGCCAUGCAGGCUUCGUUGUACGAUGCAGAGGUGAUCCAGACUUCCCAACAUUCCUACAUUACCACUGCGUCAUUCACCAGCAGGACAUAUGUAUGUACAAAAGUGGCCGGAUUUGAUCAUGUGAUGACUCAUGUCGUGAAGAUCAUAAAUGGCUCCAAAGCCAAACAACCAGGACAUUGAAGGUGCUGCUGGAGGAGCUGUCAGCUGAACAUGAUGACCUGUUACUACACACAGAAACCCCAUGGAUCAGCAGGGGAACAGUUUUACAGCGUUUUUUGUCACUGUUGGCCGAAAUCAGAGAGUUGAUGCAAUCCAAAGGGGAAGACACCUCGCUGCUUGAGGACACUGAGUGGAUUUUUGCCCUGGCAUUUUUAACGGACAUCACUGGGAAACUGAACCAUCUGUACUGUGAGCUGCAAGGUAAAGGUAAGACAUGAUAAGCUCUGCAAUGCCAGGCUUCCCACUAACACACAUUUACAGACAGAGAAAGAGUUAAGAUGUUGUCAUUCAGAACACCGUGUCGUUACACAAAAAUGUGAAAAAUAAUUUGUUGAAAACAUGUAAUGAUUUGUUGUUAUGAUCUGUUAAAAAUGUUGCAAUGCUGGUGAAAAAUGCUGGUGAUUAGUACUAAUGUGAUAGGAUUCAUUUCAAAAUGUGAAAGAGAUGAUUUUUUUCUUACAUAACUGAUAAUUUGUACAAACAUGGGACAGAGUUCAUGAAUUGUUCAAAAAUGUUACAAAGGUAGUGGUUUGCACAAAUGAAGCAUGAUUUGAUGACAGUUAAUCAUUUCCUUAAAAUGUUAGAAGUGAUAAUUUGCACAGAAAUGUAACUGGUGUGAUUUUGAACAAAAUGCUGCAAAUAUGCUGAUUCAUACAAAACUGCCAAGAAAGAUAUUUACAGAAGUUUCAGAGAUGGGAUACCUCUGACUUUAAAAUACUGGAACAGAUUUCCAUAUAUAAGUGUGUGUGUGUGUGUGUGUGUGUGUGUGUGUGUGUGUGUGUGUGUGUGUGUGUGUGUGUUUCCUACCGUCAUUGUUGUGGAAAUCGUUAACGAUUAUUGCAAGGAAUAAUUAACAUAAAUGUGAUCAGACAGUCUUUUUACAUAUUAUUUUCAUUAUUAUUAUUAUUAUUGUUUAAAGAUGAUGGCGCAAGUUUGCUAUUGAGGAAGUUUGUAUCAAACAAGGUGCCCUUCGUACUACUCAGUACCCUUGAAGUUGCUCUCAGGUUCAAAAAGGUUAGUGACCCCUGCGCUAGAGUGAGGAUUUAUUUUGGGGCAUAGUUAGGCAAAGUUACAUCAUGGAGAUUCAGUGGCAAGACAAUGAUGUGAGGCUUUUCUUCUGAAUAUUGGUUUUAAAUACAAGAAGAGGUAGACUCCGUGCUGAAGUCUGAGUAUGUGGGGUUCAGAAUGUGACAGAAGCAACCAGGUCGCUUUAGAUGGGAGAGCAGGAAGUUACACUGGACAAAUUUGUGAAGUGUGAUGGUGAGAAGGGCAGCAGGAGUCCUUGGAGGACUGAGAUGCCUGUUUUUGGAAAUUGUGAGGUGUAGCAAUGCAGACACACGAUGAAAAUGUUUUAAUAGCGUUGGAGAUGUCUUACAGCAGCCAGGAUUUUUCCAAAAAACAGAAAAGAGCCGCUUGAUCGUCUUCUUUUCAGCUGGUGGGUGGUGUGUGUGUGUGUGUGUGUGUGUGUGUGUGUGUGUGUGUGUGUGUGAGUGUGAGUGUGUGUGUGUGUGUGUGUGUGUGUGUGUGUGUGUGUGUGUGUGUGUGAGAGUGUGAGUGUGUGUGUGUGUGUGUGUGUGCGUGCGCGUGCUUCCCAAACACCAAUAUCUAUCAAUGGCCUCAAGAGGCAUUAAACUCUAAACCUUGUGGAGUGUGGACUCGGCAUGUUCUCCUAUCUCCUUACUGUCUGCCAUUGAUCUGAUCCCACUGAUUUGCCAGAAAGCGUCCAUUCACCAUUCACCUGGUCUCUCCGGCCGAUAUUGGCUUCUGGAAAUUCCACUUGAAAGUGUACGAGGAUCAGGUCUUUCGUGACUGCUGCACACAAGCGCUUGAGUGUGGGUGCGUUUGUGCAUGUACGUGUGUGUGUGUGUAUAUAAGCUUGUUUGUCCUUAUGAUUCCAAAUUACAACUGUUCCCCUGCGGUGUUUACAGUGUUAAGAGCGAGGCCAUUCAAUCAGUAGCCGGACUGAUGAAUCGACCGCAGAAAUCAGCUGCAAAUUACCCUGACCUCUCCCUCACACAGCACUGAGUUAGCUACAGCGGAGUCAGCUGCUGUGGUGCCUGAAUGCAAAUUUCCAUCUCGGUCUGUUGUCAGUGCGUCGACUGUUUAUGCGUUUGCUUGUGUUGACAGUUCUAAAAGCUCCGUCUUCCUCGCCACGGCGGUGUAGCGGUCUGGCCUGCCUGGCUGAGAAAUGAGGCCUGCAGGCACAGAGCUCGGGAGUAAAGACAUCACACUGAUUUAGUAAUGUCUCAGAGGGACAAAUCUCCUCUUUUCACUCCUUCGCUUCAUUAGGUCACUCAUAAAGGAAGGCAGAUCAAUGGAGGGAGAUAGCACACUCGUGUCAAAAUGAGAGAAAGGGAAAUAUAGAUGAAGGGCUUUAUGCUGUGUGAAAUGAAAGUAGUGAAGUACAAUUCAUCUGACAACCUGAGGCAAGCAUUUUUUCUUUAAGUUUCAUAAAAACUGAAGAUACAGAUGUCACUUGUGAAGUUGAUUUAUAUUGGUGGGGCUGACUGUGAACCGAGGCAACCGUUUGUGAAUUAUUUUAUCUCCUCUGCCAUACAAGAGCAUCCAUAUUGGGCAGUUCAGUAAAACCGAGGAUAUUUUCAGUGGUAGCAUUUUUUUUAUCAUUCAAAUUCUACUAUAUUUUCCAUUGCAACAAAUCCAAAAGAAAAAAAAUAAAUGACUGAUUGUGUAAAGAACAACUUUGGGCUAACAGAGAUCAUGUGUGUUUGUAUCAGUCGUCGCAUGGAACAGCAUGAAACUCCUGGCCUUUAUUUCUCCUACAGUCUGGAUGUAUCAUAUUAUUGUGCAAGUAAUUUUGCAGCCUAAUGACUCCCUUCUUCUUGUAUCCUUCCUUGGGAACUGACAGCAUCCUCUCUACAGAAGAGCAGAGUACAAAGACUCCCUUUUAUGCUUCCUUUGUUCCCCUGCAUCCAACAGUAUCAUACUCUCCCACACGCGCCAAGUUGCUUUCACCCCCAAGUCCACAAUUUCCUCAUCACCAACCUGCCUCGGAGUUGGCAGGAAUAAUGUUGAUGUCAGUAGCUUUACACUAAAUCAAGGCGUAUUAGCUCCCACCCCUGUCUCUCCCGCUUCUCAUGCUUUUACGUGUCUCCCUGGCCUUUUAUUGGAAACCAUAAUUAGUCCUUCAUUAAGCUCUUGGAAAUUGUGCUAAUGGACUCUGCCAUACAGCUGACUUCAUUUAAGCUGCAAAUCAAGCGACAAUGGUUGAGGACAUGACUCUGUGUCAUGACUUCAUCUGGCAGAGGCUCAAUUAGGGCCGGAGUUGUAGCAGGAGUCUACGAGGAGACACCGGACACUGGGAGAACAAGGAAUAAGCCGAGCCAAGUGGUGAUGGGUUGUUCAGCAUCUCCUGGGGAAGACGCAUCAGAUCCGCUCGAGCAGAUAAAACAGAGUGCUAACAUCUUUCAGGCUUUUCACUGAGGAACCACUGCAAGUGAGGACAGCGAGUGCCUGACCCCAGAGUACACAACAACACAAAACAUACACUGCCUAAUCCAUUGAGCUGCUGAUGGUCUGGGAAGCAUCGCAGGUCAGAUACAGGCCACAGAUGCUGUCUCUAUGCAGCUGAUGACAUUAAAAUUUAAUAAAUCUUGUGGCUUAGCUUUCACUGCAUCAGCAAGCAUCCCAGGCGCCUUUUUUUUCCUUCUAUUUUGUCUGUAUGUAUGGAUUUAUAGCCUAAUUGUACCUACAUUUUAAGUGCAUAAUGACAUAUUUUGAGCACAGAUCAUGAAAAAAUGUAUGCCCAUUGUAAUAAUUUGUGCCAUCAAAUUAGUAAAUCAUGCUUUUAAUUUAGCCUAGCUUUGCCUUCUCUUGUGUGUGCCCUUUAAAAUCUUGUGAUGUACGAUAUGCAACAUAACUGAGUAUAAACCUGUGCUUAAAUGUCAAAUGAUUCAAAAUUGUAUCACCUUAGAGGAAUAGUAUUACCUCUAAGUUGAACAGUAGGGUGUUUACUUCCAUAUAAAAUGAAAAAUUGACAGUUUAGAUUUACUAUUUUUUUUUUAAAACAGUCCCCUUAGCUCAGUGCAACAAAAGUCAAUUCAUCACUGAGAUUCAUUUUUUUUCCCAGUACUUUUAUUGUUCUGCUAUUCUUCAAAGACAAUAUUUUUUCAGCUACUCUCUGCUGGAGGGGUUGUGUUGCUCUACCUUUCUUUUUAAAAUACCACAAAGGCGCUUUAUUAAAUUCAAAUCAGGUGACACACUUGGCCCGGUCAUAGUUUUUACUUUUUUCUUCUUAAGAAUUUUGAUUUUGGCAGCGUGCAUUGGAUCGCAAUCAUGCUGGAAUAAUUCUCUUCUGCCAAGCUUCUGCAGACUGGGAGUUUUCCAGUAUUUAGAUUUUUUUCAUGAUCUAUAGCCACAGGGCCUCAUGGUGCCAUCUAUUAAUGUCAUUUUCUUUGCACCACGGGGCGUCGCAUCAUCACAAUCCCACUCUUGUGCUUCACUGUCAGGACAAUGCAUUCACUGUGGUAGUCCUGACCACAUUAAUGCCAAACAUACGGAGCCCCAUCUGAGCUGAACAAAUUUAUCCUGGUCUCAUCUGUGCACAGAAUGUACUCCCAAUAUUCAUCAGGCAUUUUUUUUUAAAAAUCCUGUAGCAAUGUUCCAUCUUGUAGCUUUGUGCUACAGACACUGUCCAUAGAAAUUGACAUUACGAGAAGUCAUUCAAAAAUAAUGACAAAAUCCGAUCUCCUUUACUCUUUUUCCUUGUUUGUGAAGUCAUGCUUUAAGCAAAGACAUAACAGAGUUUCACAAUGGCAAGCUGAAAAAUGACUUCUAAAGCCCAGCAGGAGACUGUAUGAGUCAGUGACUGACAUAAACAGAGGAAAUAAGUACCUGCAUGUAAAAACAUAGUCCUGCAAGCUAUAGACCUGUAGAUUUAAAGUACAUUAUACUUUCAUGGACCUUUUCCAUUUUCACUUUCAUGGGAGAAAAUGCAUCAAGAAGAAGGACUAUAUACAUAUACACACAUAUAUACACACACACACACAUAUAUAUAUAUAUAUAUAUAUCACCCUGAUGACAUUGAUUUAGUCAUAAUCUUCUUAUAAUUAGGCUGGUCUUAUACUUAGGCCAACCUUGUAUAUUUGUUUUAAGAAAUCAUCAUCAAACACAAGACUGAAAAUAUUUUGCAAUCACUGAAUUUGUGUUUACUAGUAAUAAAACUAGAUUAAGGAACUAAAACACACACUUUAUUGACUUCAUAAUAAUUUCUGGAACUGUUCUGCUCAUGAUAAGUUCAUGAUUUCCUUUUCAAAAGAUAAUUUUUGUACAGGAGUAACACACAAAUAGGAAGCCAUAAUAUACCAAUUUGCCACAAUGAUAAAACCACAAUACUGUGUGCAGUAUUGUGCUGUAAAAGCAGUUCUCACCCAUCAAGGUAUGGACUACACAAGAUGUUUAAAGGCAUUCUGUCGUAUGAAGUACAAAGAUGUCAGCAGUGAACCCUUUAAGCUCUGGAAGACUUUGCAACUGUGGGGCUUGCUUUCUUCCCAUAGUGCAUCUUGUUUUUAUCUCUUCCCCAGGUAAACAGUUCACAGAGACAUUGCCAUCCACAUGAUGUAAAAAAACAACAAAAAGCAUGAUUCAAAAGACCGGAUUCCUGUCUUUCAUCUCUCCAUUGUCCAGUUCUGUCAGUGCUAAUGGUGGUGGAUGUCUGACCGGUUUGUGGCUACAAAGCCCCAUAUAUAGCAAGCUGUGAAGCACUGCGUGUUCUGACACCUUUCUAUCAUAGCCAGCAUGAAGGUAUUCAGCAAUUUGUGCGACAAUAGCGUUUCGGAUGGAUUGAACCGUCACAUCAAUGAGCCUCCACCACCCAUGACCCCAUCUCCAGUUGUCAUCCAGCCAUCACAAUGUGACUGUUGUCAAAAUUUCUAAAAUCCUUACUCUGGCCCAUUUCCCUGCUUCCAACUUCAAGAACUGUGUUCACUUGCUUUCUAGCACAUCCCACCUCUGAAAGGUGCAGCUGCAUCGAGAUAACAAAGUCAUUCGCUUCACCCGUCAGUGGUUUUAAUGCUGUGGCUGAUUGAUGUAGAUGAGCCUUUAUCAAAUUAGCGAAAAACCAACAGAAUACUUUAAUGUUCAGUUACAUUCAGGAUCCCAACUAACCACACAGUGACGCAGAAAGAAGACAAUGUGAGACUUACUGUCAUUGGAACCUUGAUUUUCAUCCCAAGUACGCACGUAAUCAUCCUGCAGAAACAUGGAGAAAACAAUCGUUUAUUAGCAGCUGCAGAUAAUCAAGAUCAACAUUAUUCACACUGAGCGCACGGUGUUGUUGAUACUAUAACACAUGAACACUGUCAUCAUCACAGGAGAUGUAAUGUAGUUUGCAUUAUCUCUGCAUACUGAUUAUAAUGUGCACAAUGGCAUGAUAACUAGCUAAGUGAGUCACACCGGAGACAGAGGGUGUGUACUGUGGCUGUAUGGAAGUGAGCGCAACGAAUCUGCACUCUCUGCCUAUAUAUGUGAGACAUAUGGUAUCAAGGUGAGCCGCCUUUUAGCCGGACGGCCCUUUUCCCCCCAUUUAAUUAGAACAUUAAUCGUUCUAAUUAAAAUGGGCAAGCUGAAGGAAGCGCUGGGUAAAAAAAAAAUACAGAGAGAGAAGAUGGAUGGAGAAGCAAUGAUAAAGACACAUGAAAAGACAACUAAAUGAGUCAUGAAUAAAAAAGACAUUUCACAAAGGCAGCUAAAGGAGCUUUGCACAAAAAAGUGAAGAAAACUGACCUCUACCUCCUGGUGAGAUGACAGCAAAAGGAGAGAAAAGAGUUAUAUUAUUAGUGAAAAAGAAAAAUGUAGUUUAUUAUACAGCAUAUUGGGCUGUAUUCAGUGACAGUAUUCAGUGAAGAGUUGUAUGUUCAUUUCAGAGCACCCGAAUAUUUAUCUGUGCAAUUAACCAACCAUGACUUCAAAGGCAACUGUGAGUGAUAAAGUUAGUGAUAAAAAAAACACACAUUUUGUCACACCACAUCAACUUUUCCUAAACCUUUUUCAGUUCAGACCAGUAAGAAAAUCAAGGGAAAGAGAGAAAAAAAUCCUGCUAAAAUUAUUUAGGAAAAAUAUGUUAUCAGGUUCUUUGAUUUUAAACAAAUACAAAAAGAAUGAAGAAAAUUCACACAUUGACAGUAUAGACCAGGGGUGUCAAACAUGCGGCCUGCGGGCCACAAGCGGCCCACCAGAGGGUCCAAUCUGGCUCGCAGGAUGACUUUGUAAAGUGUAAAAAUUACAGAAAAGACAUUAACUGCAAAUUAUAAAUUUGUAAAACUAUAAAUAAAUUAAAAUAAUUUCUAGACCAUGACAGGUUGUUUUGAUCAUAAAGUAAAAUACUAUCAUUGUUCUUUUGUCAUUUUGUGUCUCAUUUUUGUAAUAUUUUGUCGUUUUUGUUGUUUUUUUGUCUUUCUUUUGUCUGACUUUUGUCGUUUGUGUAUCAUUUUUGUCGUUUUGUGUUUUUUGUGUCGCUUGCGUUUGUCUAUUUUUUUUGUCGUUUUGUUUCUUGCUUUUGUUGGGUUUUUUUUCUUUUUGUCUCACUUCACUUCGUCUUAUUUUUGGCAUUUUUUUGUCAUUUUUGUCAUUUUGUGUUUUUUUUGUCUUGCUUGCAUUGUUUAUCUAUUUGUUUGUCAUUUUGUUUGUCUUUUGUACAUUUUUUUUCACUUUGUAACUUUUGUAAAUUUUUUUGUCGAAUUUGUGUUUUGUUUUGUGUCGUUUGUUUCAUUUUUGUCGUUUUGUGUAUCGUUUUUUGUCUUUUUAUGUCUUGUUUUUUUGUCAGUUUUUUUCUGAUUUUUGUCAUUGUGUUCAUAAAAUAAAAUACUAUAUCAUUCAGUUCCAGAUACCUAUGACUAAAUGUUUCGUGCCUUUGUAGAUAUUCUGUGAUCUGUAAGUUGUAAUGUGUAAAUGAUAAGCUGACACAUAAUGUUGUUGAAAUUUCACUUAUUUUUCUUAAGAAAUUUCAGGUUGUUCAUAAUGUUUUGUAAAAAGAUAGUUCAUUAAAUGUGAACUUUUUUGCACUAAGAAAAAGGGAAAAAUUUGGAGUUGUCGUUAUUUUUUAUAGGUUAUUAUGCUGUGAUUUUGCUGCUCACUUGAGAUCAAAUUGGGCUGAAUGUGGCCCCUGAACUAAAAUGAGUUUGACACCCCUGGUAUAGACCCCAAAACCUUCAAAUUCAUAAAGAUAUAAAUGCAUUAAAUUAAACACAAAUCUAAUUACAUUUGCUUCAGAUGUAAGUGAAACCCACAGAAGAUGGUGCAGAUGUAAAGAUUUUGGAGCAUAUUGCUACGUCUGAAAUAAUUAACGAGUCAUUUCAAGAUAUUUACAGUCGGCCACCACCCCUCCUUAGCGAUGACUUACUCAUCACCGUAAACAUUUACUGUACUGGAAGCGUGUGCCAAACAGCUCCCCGGAAGGCGAUAAAUCCCGACACAACACGUGAAACAAGCAGCCCUUGUUAAAGCUGGGACCUUCUUCUUUGACCCUCACAGUUUUAUUUCACAGAGGUAAAUAUUUUCAUUGCUGGCGAGGACUCCAUUGGUGAACUGAAAUCUACCAAACUGCGCUCCUGUUGCUCCACUCAUCCUCUUUCUCGCUGCACUGCCGAGCUCAAUCGCCCUUCUCGGUGACAAAAGAAUCACUUCUCAUGAACUGGCCUCGGUUUGGAUCUUAACUCGACACUUCAGGCGAGCUCCGUGAAUGACUGUGGGUUGUGUAGUUUAACCUUGUUGAUCCUGAUGGAGUCGAGCAUUAGCAGGGCAAGACCUCAAAGAGUUUAAGGCCUGGUCAUUAAUCUGAUCUCUCCCUUGCCUCCUUUAUCGAUGCUUCAGUUCCUGCAUUAUUUAGCAGCCUUUCUGUAUUUGUGUUUCUGCCAGGACCAAUGAGGAAGCUGUCCCACUGCGUUGACAGGACUGGAAAUCAAUGAUUUCAUAAAAGAGAGGCUGCAGAAAAUGUAUUCUGGGAAAAUAAAUUCUCCUGAGUGUACAAUGAAAGUGAGCAUGAAACGUGGAGCAAGGUGACAAGUUUGGCACACGGCGGCAGCAAGGUUACAUCACUCGCAUGUGAUUCAUCGACCAAAAAUUCUGAUGAAAAGGCUGCUGCUUUUUACACAGGAGCGAUUAGAGGAAGCAGGCUGAGAGUUGAAAACGCUCAGCUGCAUCCAGGAGCUCUGUGAUCUAGCUGAUAACAUCAGAAAGAUCUCCUCUUGUUAAACAGAGCGGGGAAGCUCACCCUCCACAUCAAACAUGGCAAAUGUUCACCCUGCUGCCGAGCUCCACAAUACUGACUGACAGAUCACAAUCCGUCACAUCUGUGGGGGGAGGAUCACAACCCGAUGAGCUGUCCGCUGAAAAAUUGGGUUCAACUCAGGAGGAACUGCACACUGUCACAGAGAUCUGUCAAAAAAAAAAAAAAGUUUGACAGACAGAGACUGCGCUUGUGGUUGACUGGAAAAAAAGGAACAAACAGGGAAGUGGUUGAAAUGAAUGUGUGGGUGUAUGUGUGUCUGAUGGAUCAUAUGUGUGACUGACAUGUUUCUGGGUAAAUGUCAGCUGUCAGAUGCACUCUGUGUUCAUUGCGCUUAUCCUGAGGGGUUUGUUCAUGGUGACUGCAGAGUGCAUCACGGCCUCAUCAGUAACAAAGGACGCGGUAAUAACACUCGGCUGUGGAGAACUGAGUGUUUAUACUUGACCUUUUUGUGAGAUUUUUGUUAAUACUGGCCUCCGGUGGAUUCAUCAAACUCAUGCUGAAACUCCCAGAGUUACAAUGUAAGCACAGCACUCCAACAGGCGCCGCACAAUUCACACCAUGACAAAAUAAUUUCAGCCCACACAGAUCCCAAUCUCUGGUUUUCAUGUAUGACAGUAGGUGAAACCUUUUUUUAAGCGAGGUGAAAUGCCUUAGAGCUGCUGCACGCUAAACUCAAAUGUCAAGGGAGCUCCGAAAUGUAAGUCAGUUUAAACUUGUAAUGUAAACUCGUGCAGAAUUUAGAUUUUUAGGCGCCCGUUCCUUGAAAUAGAGCAAGUCAGUGUGUGGUUGCUGGAAUGUUACUUGAGCUUUUAAUGUUUUUUAUGCACAUCCUGAAAAACUUAACAAAUCCUGCGAUUUGAAUAGUUUAUACAUUGCUAAUCAAUGCCACCCAAAAUGACACAUUCAGGCAUUUUCUGAUCUGAUUCCGUAUGAACAGGAUACAAACUUUCUGAUUUGAUUCUAUAUGGUCAAAGUUUGGUUAAGUUAGGCGCGGGUUAGGGUUUAAAAAUGAUCAUGAUUUGGGUAAAAUGAUUUUGUUUGAGGGCUGCACAGAGGCGUAGUGGUUAGCACUUUCGCCUUGCAGCAAGAAGGUCCCUGGUUCGCGUCCCGGCUUUCCCGGGAUCUUUCUGCAUGGAGUUUGCAUGUUCUCCCUGUGCAUGCGUGGGUUCUCUCCGGGUACUCCGGCUUCCUCCCACAGUCCAAAAAUAUGCUGAGGUUAAUUGAUGAUUCUAAAUUGCCCGUAGGUGUGAAUGUGAGAGUGCUUGUUUGUCUUUGUAUGUAGCCCUGCGACAGACUGGCGACCUGUCCAGGGUGUCCCCUGCCUUCGCCCGAGUCAGCUGGGAUAGACUCCAGCCCCCCCAUGACCCUAGUGAGGAUUAAGCGGUGUAUAGAUAAUGGAUGGAUGGAUUUUGUUUGAGUUACAAUAAUAACCAUUCAGUUAUGAUUAGGGAAUGAUCAUAGCUAAAAGAAACAUUGAGUGUUAGUAGUAAAUGGGAAACUACUAGUGAUUGUGCUAAAGUCAAUGUUUUGCUGACCUAUCCAUCCCCCUCUACCUCCCCCCUCUGUGGACUUCCUGGCUUGCCUUACACUGCUAUAGCCUACUUGAUAUGAACAUAUAUUGAUUUUUGGCACUUUCUGAAAAGACUAACGCCGAUGCUUUUAUUCUGGAGGAGUGUCUCAAAUAUGUAUUUCCUCAUGUAAUGAAGGAGACAAUCAAGCUGGCAAGAGUUCGACGAGUUUGACAGUCCAGACACUCAACACUAAAGGUCCCACUCAUUUCCAGAUUCAUCAGCCCACCACUUCUGCUGCUGAAGUUUACUUUUUUUUUUUUGAAAUCCUCUUUCCAAUCAAGUCUGUCAACAGUGAGAGGUCCUCAAGCAAAUACAAGAACCCGCUUCAAAGAUGAGAACCACUGAGAGAUGAGGGUGCAAAGAGGCUGACCACGCACAGUGAGAACUGGAAACAUCAAUUGCCUGAUCAGCGAGCGGUAGAACAUCCUAAUUAUAGCUUAAAAUAGCGAAAAAGGAGUGGUUUUAGUGUCUUAGAAAUAGUGCAGUGUUUACAAGACAAUGUUUUAUUUUACAUCAGUGAAGGCACACCACUGAAAUACUGUUGGAUUUUUGUUCUAACGUCCCAAAUCAAAUAAAGCAGCUGAAAUCAGAACAUUAUACUGCCCUGAGCUUUUUCACAGCAGCCUCUGGGCACUAUAAUUUGUUAACAUGUAUAUACGAUGCUACAAACUGCAUCAUAUCAAUUCCUCCCACCUAGAGACCCACAUAAAGACUCGGUGGCUGUUCAUGGCUUCUCCGCUUUGGUUUACAGAUCACAUGCAACGCGCCUGAGAUGAAACAAACCGCCCUGAACAAUCUUCCCAUUCUGUUCGCUCUCCUCUUAUCUUCAUGCACAAUGAGCCACGGGGCAUGAGUAGCAAGCUUGCUAAUUUGUAUGUCUGCAUGCACAGAGGACUCUAAGCUCAUGAUUCAAGAUCGCAGAGCAGAGGCAGGGCAUCAAAUGCUGCUCUGCUUACAGGAUGAAGCAAAGCUUAUGUAAGAGAACUUGGAAGAAUGGGUGGGAAAAAAGGUGAAACAGAGGUUCGUACAUUUUGGGAACUGAAAUAAUGGCAGGGACAAAGGCAUGAGGAGUUGCAAUAUAAAUUUAAAGUGCCUUGAAAUGACUCACAGGAAAGAAGGGAGGAAAAAAACACAAUUCUUCUAACAAAAAUUACACUUAUCUUUCUGUUUUCCUUUCUUCUAAUCUUUGGUCUUCUCCCAAGUGAGGUACUGGGUAAUUUAACCUCUUACGUCCAAAACAAGAAUUUCAGUCAUAAAAGAAUUUGAAUAAUCCUUUUAGGGUUCUGAAGAUGUAAAAUUGCAAUUUGCAAUCGCAGAGGAAGAAUUUAAGGACCCGGUGUAUUCACAGCAGCCUAUUUCACACCAAACCACAGCACACAAUACACAGCUCAAAUGAUUGUGGACCAUAUGACAGAUCUGAGUUCAGAAAUUGAAGUCUUGGCAACACUGUGCUUCCUGCAUGUUUUCGUACUGUGUAGCGUGAGAUCAUUUCAUCAGUGGGUGUAGCGAAUGAUGCUGUGGUCAGAUCUGUGUCCACACAUGACUAACAUCAAACAGAAAAUGUCCCUCAAGCACACUGAAAUGUCACUAGCUGCGUUUAAAAAAAGCAUUUACACUCGACUAUUGAAAUUCUAAUUUAGAAUUAAUGAUGUGCAUAUCUUAAAACACUCUGGCAGAUGAAUAGACAUAUUGUCUGCAUUGCACUCCUUCUUGCUGGUACUUAAAUGAGUAAUCUCCUUCCUACUGAGGGCAGUGGAUAAAAGGUUUUCAUUUAUGUCUGCACUGAAUGGCGUGACACUUAAGUAGUAUGGAUAUUGUGCAUGCAUAACAAUUCCUUUCCCCAUUCAAGAAGGGCUCUAAUGUCAGUCUCCACACUCAAGUAGAGAAGAGUCACAUCAGAAAUCCUUUGACAGCAAAGGAUGGAUAAAAGGUCAAAUACUGAGGCUGACUGAAAAUUGCACUCAAUUAUGUAAACAGUGAUUGCUUUUUCCUUUCACCAGAUAUGUCUUCAGAGGUACAGUAAAAAAAUGGACUGGUUUCACAGAAUUUGACAGAAAUUUUGAUGCAGUGUUACCAGUUCUUGAACUUUCUUGCUUUAUCCCUGUUGUUUUUGCAAUAUGUGCAACGUACACUCUCAACAGACACAGAUACAGCUAUAAAAAUCACACUUAGUCCACAAAAUCUCUGUGCACUCAUGCCAGCUCUGUACUCACUAUCUAUAAAUAAAAUCAACCCUUGUGCCUUUCAGGGCCCUGCGGGGAAUAAGAAAACAGUCUGCAACUCACAGGAGAAUCUGGUACAAACAGCGAGAACCUUCACACUUCACUGAAAACACCAACUGAAUAACAGACUCGUACAACAAUGGAAAAUCAAUGAAGCUGCCUAGGUAAGGGCUACGAGAAGGAUAAGAAUCAGCCAAUGAUUUGAGACGGGGUGAGUCUAAAACAGUGUAAUCGAAUCACAAUCAGAUCAACAGUAACCAAAAUCUGGCAUCUUGUGCGGAAAAAGCAGACCAGCUGUCAUUUGUGGUGCCUACCAAAUUCAGUCUUGCUCAUAUAAUGCUGCUGAAAUCUCUCAAAAAUAGAUCCGCAUAACUGCUGAAUGUACUUAGAACACAAACGUAUCAGACAUUGUACAUGUCCUCACUUGGCCCGCUGCUGCUGCUAUGCCUGUCAACAAAUAUUUACCAUCAAAAUGUAUUGUAAGCAGCAGAGCCUUGGAUACAGAUUCAAACAGAGGUAGACGGAAGUGGCUUCUGAUUUCUAGCUGGUGACCAUGAAAAGAUUUCAAUCCAUUAAGCUGAUAUUUGAACAGGACAUUUUAACAUAACCUUGGAAAAUAAUGUAGUACGACAUUACUAUAGGUCUUUAAAAAAUGCUCUCAGUUAACUUAGAGCAGGCAAAUGCAUUUUUGUACUUUUGCUUUUGGGUUUAGAGUAGAUAUCGACUGAUACGGGUUUUUCAGUCUGAUACUGAUGCCAAUUCCAGUCGUCCCUCGCCAUAUCGUGGUUCACUUUUUGCGGCCUCACUGUAUUGCGGAUUUUAAAUUGUAUAUAUCUAAUUUUGUAUCAUGGAUUUUUCGCUGUAUUGCGGGAUUUUGCGGUAUAUAGGUGUUGUUAUAUAUUUAUGAUUUUAACAAUUUUUAACAGUAACAUAAGCCUUUUUGUAGACUAAAAAAUUUUAAAACAAUAUAAAAAAUUAUAAUUAAAACAUAUUAAAAGAAUAUUAAAUUGAAAUAAAAUGCGGAGCGUACAGCGCUGGGUGCUGAUUGGCUCAGCAACCGUAGCAUGUGUCCUCCAUCUCCCGUGUAUUGCAUGCAUUCAGCAUCUCGCCUUGUCCAUUUCACAUCGACGAUCGCUGCGCAUAGUGUUGCUCUGCGGUGAUGUGUUUUUGUGAAAUUUUCAUAAAAAAUGUAAUUUAUUUCAAGCCCUAUGAUGUCAAUCAACUGUUCUGCGCCUUCUAAGGCUUCUGGCACCGAACCCAAGCACCAUAAGAAGAUACUUACCAUCGCAGAAAAGGUGGAACUACUUAAAAUAUAUCUAAAUAAUAAAAUGAAUCUACUUCGAGGAUUUUUACCUAUUGCGGGGUUCUGGGACCUGACCCCCGCAAUAGAUGAGGGACCACUGUAUUGGUAAUACAGAAAGAUAUUUGGAACCUAUAUAUAUUUAAAUAGAAUGUUUUAACAGCAUGUGAUAGCAGGGAACCUCAUUUAUAACUUGGCUUCUUCAUUAAUAAGGGUGACUAUAACUGAAUAUGUAAAAUAGAAAUAGUGAUUAAAAUAGGACAGAACGAUAAUUGGGAAAAUGCCAAAUAUCGGCCACAAUACUCAUCCAGGCCAAUAAUUGGUCUGUUCCUAGUUUGGAGAGAUUAAAACGAAGAAUCACCUUUAACUUCUUUAAUGAAGCAUCACUCUCAAUAUAGCACGCUGCAUGAACAGCUCGACCAGCCGUGCCUAGUUACAGUUGCUAAGGUAUGACUGGACCAUAAAUCACGUCCUUUGCAAUAUGUUUCAUGUUGGUUUUCAUCACGAGGUCUUCUCAGCGUCAUCUCAGCUGUGGGUUUCCUCCAGUACAGUAUUUGCGUGCUUUCCUGAGUCUGAUUACUGCGGACAUGUUCUCAGCAAGCCCUCUCUCAGCAGCUCAGUACUAAUCAAAUCCUUUUGUAUCAGCUACUGUACCUACAGGACCUGAUCUCACACCAGCUGUGACUCAGUCCGGCAUAAGCCUCACUGCAUUUACUGUAGAGACAGCUUCUGCCACUUAGAGUUACAGUGAGUUUGAAAAGGAGAAAACUUCCCGUUUUGUGUCUGAAUUUACACAAACUUACAUCCCACUGAUGUGCCAUUCAGACUACUUUGGGGAUUUUGCUGUUGAUAAUAAGUGGGUUGUUUACUGUGUACAUGUUUUCUAACUACAAGUAUCCCACGAAGAGCUCAUUACAGGCAGAUUUCUGGAUGUCAGGUGUUCUCUGCACCAAACAACCUAUUUGGCUCACUGACUCCCAGGUGUAGUUGGUGCAGAAGCAGGUCAUUCGCAGGCUGUAAGAAAAAAUGUUGCGCAAAAAGAACUGUGUCUUUUUUUCCCCCUUUUUUUGCAACUAUUAGUCCCACCUGUAUUGCAGAUGUGGGUGAAGAAGCAUUCAUUCAAUUCUGUAAACAAUUGAAUUCUCUACAAAUUUUGAAAUUUAUCACCCCAUUUAGCAAAUCUGUCUCCACGACACCUGUGCCCUUCAGCUGUGGCUACUGUAUUGCUGUGGGAAGCAGCUGUAGCCCGGCAUGAUGAAAGGCUAUUUCUUUUUCCCUUCUACUCAAUUACAGCCCACCUAGGCCUCUGGCAGCCGGCCGAGACACCCCACAGUGCACCAGUAGUCCGUGUGCAAACCCCCAACAACCACACCACCGCUUCCUGAACGGCUGCAAAAGAUGCACUCCGUCUGCAUUGCCAAAAAGCUCGGGAUGUUUGCGGCCUCGCAGAAAAUCUGGAGAACGAUAAGGAGCGGCUCAUGCCUGAACAAAGCAUGAAUAGAUAGACUAAUGGACUUCUGAUAAGCUGUUAUCAUCAUUCAAAGCAUUAAUGCAUCAGUAGCAGUCUAUUCUAAUAUCACAGAGCGGCUGUGCGAUACGAAAGCCAGACCGGGCGAAGGGCUCAUGGUGAUAAUUUACUGUUUGUCUGGAUAGUCUUUAAUGGAGUAUUUGGCUCCAGUGUUACAGAUGCCAUUAUCCACAAUUAUUUUUGUGUGUCAUAGCGAAAUGAUAAAAAGGAGCAGUGAAGGGAGUUCAAAUUCUGCUGGACGGUUGCCAGUUAAAGCACAUAAGAGGCUAAAAUCAGGCAGGAGAGUAUAGGUAAGCAAGGUAACGCUCCUGUCAAAAUGUUCCCUGAAGAUUGCCAGCAUGGAGCAAAAGAACACAAAAUCACAUCUUAAUAAGAACUGUCAGAACCUACCGCGAGCGCUUCCCCCAUUCUGCAUUUUUAAUCCACUGACAUCGACAAGGGAGCUGAUGUUUUUGUGCACAGAGUGUUUUCUGUUCAUUAAAAAUGAACUGAAUGGAUAGCAGGUGCAGGCAGGAUUGGUACUGGAUGGUCCAGAGCUGCCUGACUAGAGAGGUGUGCGUUUCUAAGAUAAGGGUUUACCAGGCAUAGACAGUGCAGGAUAGAAGAAAACAAGAAAUAGAUGAAACUAAAAUCGCUUCAUAAACACAGAGCCCUUUCUACCGUGUUUAUGCUGGAAUGCAUGAUGGAUGCCAACAAUAAAGAGUCUCCUCCUGCGUGAACUUGCGCUGUCAUGUCCUAAUGAUCAUCCAUUUUUAGGCACAUAUCUGGGCUGAUCAACAGGAAUAAGGCUUCCGAACAAUUUCAUGGCUUGGUGAUUCCGUGGACAGUAUCGUUUUUACGGGGGAAGUUGAGCAAAAAAUUUAAUUUACUGUUGAUUCGCCUUUAGUAGACAUACCAAAUUGGAUCUGCUAUGCAUAAAAAUACAGUCAUCUCCAGUUAUUUCAUGUCACAUUGAAAUGAAAAUAGACAGUACUUCAAUCUUCCCUAUGACUGAGUCUCUGAAUUUCAGUGUGUAUUCAGAAUUAUCCUUUUAAUGGUGCUUAAAAUGGAAAUGAGUAUUCAUAAUCAUAAAACAAAAUGUUUUUCUUGCAUACAUUUUUCCAGCUGCUGCAUGCCUCCAUCAUUACACUCAUUCCAUUUUGAGCUCAAUAUUGUAGCAGUGUUAAGAUGGUUUUUCAGUUAUAUCUUCAAAUGUUGGUAGCCUCAGUUUUCAUAAUGACACUCAAAAGAGCAAAGUGAAGAAAUCAAUAAAGGUACAAUAUAUUUUAAUGAACAGUUAUGUAACCCUCCGAACCCCAAAACACCAGCGGGGGGUUUUAAAUGCAUAUUGUCUAAAAAAGAAUGGCCAAUAUUACACCAUUUGCCAUAGAAAGACACUAUUAAAAAAGGAAGAAUAGUAAAAUUCUUGACCUUUCAAUGGUUCUUGAAGUACUAAUCUGGUACCUGCUGUUUUGUCAGGAAACUUAACUAAAUUUGAAAUUGUAAGAUUUGAUCAAAAUCACUUCAUGCAGCAAGUUUCAUUCUAAAAUUUGAUGAAAAUGAACCAAAAAAUAGAAAUUCUGUCCUCUACUCAACCAAGCAGCCAUUAGUGACCUACACCCAUGUGAUUAAAAUUCAGGGACUUUUCAGCUAAACUGGUCUAAAACUGCAGGUUGUGUUUGCAAAGUGCAGAUAGGAGACACAUAUGGAAACAAGUUAAAAAUAUAAGUACUAAAAUAUGGAUCAUAUGCCAUUUUCCCCCCGGUAAUAGUGAUGCCUGUGUACCCUUGGAAAAAUGCUGUACAUUUUAAUUUUUGUCACAUAAAAAAAAAAAGGAAUUUGACUUCAGUGUAUUCUCUGUUAUGAUUUAUGACAUUACUACUUUGUAAUAUUGUAGAAAAGACAUUACUGAGCUCUCUCUACUUCUAGUCAUGGUUGUGCUGCUUCCACAGAGGUGCAGGACUUUAUGUUGCAGUGAAAAACGAGCCGAAGGAGCAGAAAACGCCCAGAAACUGCUAGGAGUUUAGAGGGUCAAUAAUUUCUCAUAAAAACUGAGCAAAUGACACCAAAGAUGUCAACUUUUGUGGUAAAGUAAUAAAUCUACAUUCAGUUACCAUGAUUGUCCUUCCUGUUCCUCCGCUUGUAUGUUUUUUUUUCCUGGGAUUUGGUGCAUUAGUGGAAUGAAAUGUUGAGUGCACCUGUCAGAUUAAAGGAUUGAAGGUAUCCCAUUCUAUUAUUAUUUGUUGACUGUAACUGUUAAAUCUAAUCUCCUUGUCUUCCUGUGAAAUAGAUUGAAGUGUGGAAGCUUUUUAAAAUUUUUUUUAUUUUUUUAUUGGAAGCGAAAAAACCUCUUAUCCUGAUUCUGCUUUUACAUUCCAUUAAAGAAUAAAUAUGAAAUAUUUACAGCGUA